rnacentral:rRNA from 1 species
UACGGGGGGGGCAAGCGUUGUUCGGAAUUACUGGGCGUAAAGGGCUCGUAGGCGGCCAACUAAGUCAGACGUGAAAUCCCUCGGCUUAACCGGGGAACUGCGUCUGAUACUGGAUGGCUUGAGAUUGGGAGAGGGAUGCGGAAUUCCAGGUGUAGCGGUGAAAUGCGUAGAUAUCAGGAGGAACACCUGCGGUGUAGACAGCUUACUGGACCACUUCUGACGCUGAGACACGAAAGCGUGGGUAGCAAACAGG